UCAGUACAGGAGACACAUGGAGCUGUUGGAGUGCAUCCAGAGAAGGGCCACAAAAAUGGUCUAGAUGACCUUUGAGAGUUCCUUCCAACUCAAAUGAUUCUAUGACCAAAGGAGAGCUUCCAAAAUACAAUAGAAGUAGAUCAAAAAGCAAAUGGGAACUCUGCUUUCUUUAUGAACUGAUGAGGAAAGACUUUAAGAGAAAAAGAGGAGGCAGCACAUCUUAGGAUUUGAAUCAGACAACUGCAACAGCAAGUUUGACCGAAGUGUGAGAAGAUUUGCUAAAUGGAGAACUUCUGUGUAGAGGCAUAACUUAGCUAUGAAAGCUGCUGCUGCAUGGCUAUUCUUGGCCUUAAAAUUGAGCAAUAGGUUUGCUGUUUGCUCUGGACCAAAGCUCCAGCUGAGUCAAGUGGAGAUUUGAAAGUUUUCAUGAGGGACUAGCUGCUCUAAAACAAGCUGCUAAUUACAUUUAAUGAUGAGACAAAAUUGGAAAGCAAUAUCAAAAGACAGGAAGACUGGAACAUUGUUUAGGAAGUACCACAUAACCUUGAAGACUGGAGUAAUCAAAAUCAAGUGAUGUUUGGUAUUACAAAUUGCAAUGUCAUGUAGUGGACUAAGAAAAAAUGUUGGUUAGAAGAGUUUUGAAAGGGUAGAGAUAAACCAUUUGGGUAUGAAUGCCAGCAGCUUGCGUACUGGAGACCAGCAGUUAAGCGUGUCCCAUUUGAAGACAAAUCAAGUGUUAUAUCUCUAGUUGCUGUUUUGAAGAACAUGGAGAAAGCUAAUGCUCAGCAGAACUGUGGCAUGCAAGCAGAAGAUCACCAAGCAAAAACCAAACACAUUUAUUUGAAGCUUGGAUUCCCUUGCCCGUAGUAGCAGAGAACAUGAAUGCAUGAAUCAAGGCUUCCUUUCCCACUCUAUUAUCGGUUAUGUUCCCAGAAUCAUAGUUAAAAUAUUUGCAGGCUCAUUUGCUGUGAGUAAUACUUUUCCCUGCUGAAUUGUAACAACCUCCAAGAAAUCUGAGAACAGUGUUAAAGUGAAAUUACCAGUUGGUUCAGUUCUCUAGGUUGUGCCAGUGCAACCCUGCAUGAUUUCGCUAAGCAAGAAAUAUAAAUGGAAAGACUGAGUCUUAAUGAGGCUACUAUGGAUGACUUCAACCAGAGGAUUUCUGAAGUGCAAUGUCUGCUAGUCUGCCCUAGGCAGAAUCUUCAUCCCAGCUCCCCAGAGGUACAUUGAGACUGGCCGACGAUAUGUGUUUGCAAAAGUUUCAGCUCCAGCCCAAUUCUGAAGUCCCAAGCCAGUAACAAGAAUAAUGAAGACUUUAAAUUCCAAGACACAGGCUUAAAAUGAACCUUGGAAAUACUACGUGGAAAGUGACUGCUGCUGGUCAUGUGGAAAAAAAAAAUAAGUGUACCCUUCAGGUGCUGAAGGAUGCAAUGUAUUCAAAGCAUAUUUAAUAAAUGCGUGGAGCCCAUUGGGCAAGUUAUUCAGCAAGCACCCAUGAGAAGGUAAUUCCCUCUCUUUGUGUUUAUAAGCUAAGAGUAUUCUAAUGGACUUACUUCAUGAGUCAGUGGACCAUAACUUUGCAAAUUUCUUCAGAAAUGUAUCUGAAGUCAUAUAAAGGUGAUCACAGCUCAUACAGACCUUGAAAAACCAUCAUUUGCAAUGAAAAUAAUUGUUUUCCCUUAGCCAGUUGUAAUGUAGCCUCUGUUUGAGGCUACUUAUUUAGUUUUAGUUAACAAUAAAGUUUUUCAG
ensembl:lncRNA